CCGCAUUUCUCAAAGAACACUCUAGAAAAACUGGACCGUUGGACUCGACGUCAAUCAAAACCAGGACGACGACGAACGUGACGAACACAUUUCUAAAAAGAGACAGAAGAUAUCUUUCGAGGUUGAUGCAGGAGAAGAUGAACGAAGCAUCAGGGAACAUCUCCGAGUAAUAAAGGAGGAAACAGAGAACCUUAGACCAAACUUAGAGCUUCUUAAAGAAAGGAUGGCGCUGAUAAAAAUCUACCAGAUAAAUUUUUGUGUCUAACCACAGCACGGAGGAGAUUAUCUCUGAGUUUCCAUGUUUCAGACUGGCCAAAAUGCUCCUUUGGGGUAUGAGAGACCGUACCAACAUUGAUGUGGACCAACAUAUUCUCUCUCAGCUCUCGGUAAUGGCAUCUAAAGUCCUUCAAGUUUCACGGAGUCCCCUGAUGGAGAAGUUCAGGUGUGUGGUUGAUGACUGUGAAGAUGACAGACUGAAAAAAGGACUACAGUUGGAAGCAGCUAUUCUGCUCUUGCCUGCACUGUUUAAGGAGGACCCGGGUUUGCUGUUUGAAGUUGAGGUGAGCCAUGAACA